UGGGGAAUAUUGGACAAUGGGCGCAAGCCUGAUCCAGCCAUGCCGCGUGAGUGAUGAAGGCCCUAGGGUUGUAAAGCUCUUUUGUGCGGGAAGAUAAUGACGGUACCGCAAGAAUAGGCCCCGGCCAACUUCGUGCCAGCAGCCGCGGUAAUACGAAGGGGGCUAGCGUUGCUCGGAAUCACUGGGCGUAAAGGGUGCGUAGGCGGGUCUUUAAGUCAGGGGUGAAAUCCUGGAGCUCAACUCCAGAACUGCCUUUGAUACUGAGGAUCUUGAGUUCGGGAGAGGUGAGUGGAACUGCGAGUGUAGAGGUGAAAUUCGUAGAUAUUCGCAAGAACACCAGUGGCGAAGGCGGCUCACUGGCCCGAUACUGACGCUGAGGCACGAAAGCGUGGGGAGCAAACGGGAUUAGAUACCCUGGUAGUCCACGCCGUAAACGAUGAAUGCCAGCCGUUGGAGGGUUUACUCUCCAGUGGCGCAGCUAACGCUUUAAGCAUUCCGCCUGGGGAGUACGGUCGCAAGAUUA
rnacentral:rRNA from 1 species